GGGCUUAGAGGAGACUGAGAGGAACCUGGAGCAGAUGCCGAAGCAGGAAUGGAAGCAGAAGAGAUCUGAGAAGCUUGUCUUUUCCUGCGCACGCCCUCUUCCAACUCACGGAUCGAUUUUCUUCUUUGAGGGAGUUUCAUUUUUGGAGCCAUUCUCACCACCAGAACAAGCAAGGAGACUUGGAAGAUCAAAUGUGUGAGGAGAUAGAGGGUUAUUAGGGGAUGGAAAGGGAUUUUUGGAGGGGAGAAACCCCGAUUUGGAGGAGAAUGGUGGAAGCUAGGGCACGCUCCAACCGCUCCAAUGAAGGGAAAAAAAUGGGAAUAGCUCCUUUCCCAAGGGGCGAUUUGAGGUGGAGGGGUGAUGGGAGAAAGAUCUUGGGCUUAGACCUUGGAUUUGGAGAGGAAGAAGAAGAGGACUAUGGGUUUUGGAGGGAGGAAG
rnacentral:lncRNA from 1 species